CGCUGGCGGCGUGCUUACACAUGCAAGUCGAACGGAAAGGCUCCUUCGGGAGUGCUCGAGUGGCGAACGGGUGAGUAACACGUGGGUGAUCUGCCCUGCACUUUGGGAUAAGCCUGGGAAACUGGGUCUAAUACCGGAUAGGACCAUGGGAUGCAUGUUCUGUGGUGGAAAGCUUUUGCGGUGUGGGAUGGGCCCGCGGCCUAUCAGCUUGUUGGUGGGGUGAUGGCCUACCAAGGCGACGACGGGUAGCCGGCCUGAGAGGGUGUCCGGCCACACUGGGACUGAGAUACGGCCCAGACUCCUACGGGAGGCAGCAGUGGGGAAUAUUGCACAAUGGGCGCAAGCCUGAUGCAGCGACGCCGCGUGGGGGAUGACGGCCUUCGGGUUGUAAACCUCUUUCACUCACGACGAAGCGCAAGUGACGGUAGUGAGAGAAGAAGCACCGGCCAACUACGUGCCAGCAGCCGCGGUAAUACGUAGGGUGCGAGCGUUGUCCGGAAUUACUGGGCGUAAAGAGCUCGUAGGUGGUUUGUCGCGUUGUUCGUGAAAUGCCACAGCUUAACUGUGGGCGUGCGGGCGAUACGGGCAGACUGGAGUACUGCAGGGGAGAUUGGAAU
rnacentral:rRNA from 1 species